rnacentral:misc_RNA from 1 species
GGAAGGAUCAUUAUCGUAUAAACUUGAACAGGCUGUUGCUGGUCCUCUCGCAAAUGGGGGUGUCUGUGCACGCUUGUCUCAUCUUUGUCAUUUCUCCAACUGUGCACAUUUUGUAGAUCCUGGAUGGUUCAUGAACUCGCGUUCGAGUCGGGACUGCUGUUGCUUUUUCUUUGGAAAGGCCGGCUUUUCCUCGUAUCUUUUUCCAGGUCUAUGUCAAUUUAUCACAAACAAACAUUAUGUCUAGAAUGUGUUGCAUAUAAAAAUAUAUACAACUUUCAGCAACGGAUCUCUUGGCUCUCGCAUCGAUGAAGAACGCAGCGAAAUGCGAUAAGUAAUGUGAAUUGCAGAAUUCAGUGAAUCAUCGAAUCUUUGAACGCAUCUUGCGCUCCUUGGUAUUCCGAGGAGCAUGCCUGUUUGAGUGUCAUUUAACUUAUCAACCACUUCACUUCACAUGAACGUGGCUUGGACUUUGGGGCUCUUUUGUGCAGGCCUUUUGAAAAAGAAAGGUCGGCUCCCCUGAAACGCAUUAGUGGCAUCUGAGCUGCUACUGUAGGUGUGAUAAAUAUCUAUGCCUUCUGGUAUGCCGCAUGGAACAGAUUGCGCUGCUCAAAACCAAAAAUCAUUUGACAGACUUGACCUCAAAUCAGGUAGGACUACCCGCUGAACUUAAGCAUAUCAAUAAGCGGAGGAAAAGAAACUAACAAGGAUUCCCCUAGUAACUGCGAGUGAAGCGGGAAAAGCUCAAAUUUGAAAUCUGGUGGUUCCUUGGACCGUCCGAGUUGUAAUCUAGAGAAGUGCUACCUGUGCUGGACCGUGUACAAGUCUCCUGGAAUGGAGCAUCACAGAGGGUGAGAAUCCCGUCUUUGACAUGGACUGCCUGU